AAAGUCGUAACAAGGUCUCCGUAGGUGAACCUGCGGAGGGAUCAUUAUAGAAAAACACUUUCUAUCAAAAGUGAUGAGGCUUUUUUUAGGCCUUGUUGCUUUCAAACAAACGAUCGCAACUAUUUUUUUAUGGGAGGGGGGGUUCUUGAUUGAGAGACAGACAGAAAUGUCGCUCUUGGUGGAGAAGAAAAAAACAAAAGUGUUUGCCUGAUAUUAUAAAUGCCAUUGAUUUGGUUGGAGAAUAAUUUAAAUACAACUUUCAACAACGGAUCUCUUGGCUCUC
rnacentral:misc_RNA from 1 species